GCCUCUCACCUCCUGCACGCUCACGGAGCUGUGCUUUGGGAAGCUCCUCAGGCUUUCUCAUGAUGUGAGCUGUGAAGAUCCAGCAAUAUUUCAUCCUGGAGCUGUAUUUGCAUAUCUGUAGUCUGCAAGUUUGGCACGAUUCCCUUGAUGAAACCAUUUAUUCUGCACAGAUUUAUAUUCUCGAAUGUCAGGGCUAUAUGCAGCCCACCUCCUUUUAUCCCAGUCCUGUUGCAUGUUAUGAGCUUUGCCCUGUAUUGCUUUAUUUGCUACCAAUUCUGCAGGUGUUUCUCUGUUCAGGUGGCAAAUGAAAAUGCUGUGGGCCUGAUAGGGUGAUGCGUGCCCACCAGCGAGGACCCUGGAGCUCCUGUGUGGUGAGGGGGCUCUGGGGAAGGCGAAGUGACGAGGAGAGACCUUGCUGGGGUUCCCUGGGGGCUGCUGAAAUGAGAGUGGAAGGAAGAUCUGAAGGAGGAAAAAAUAUUGAAUCUGAACAACGUGGGGAAGAAAGGAACCAUUCGAUAACUGAAUGCUUCCACCACCAGUUGCUCACCAGUGAGCACAGUGACUGACUCAGUCUUGGGCUUGGUGUGCUCUCUCAGACCAGACUGAAGGAUGUAUUUGAUCACCAAGAGUUAAUUAUUAAAGAGGGAAAGGAACAUUCAUUUCAAAAGCAGAUGGUUUUCAACAUUCACGAGCUGUGCCUGCCCUCUCCCAGCCUCGUGUGCUCACCUGCUGGCUCCCAUCCGCGUUUCCUGGCUCCUGCGUGCGGCCAGUUCACCUCCACAUACACCAAACGGGAUGGAGGGUUGCAUCAGUCCUCUGAGCAUCGCUGAACAUUUCAAGAUGAGUUGUUUGUGAAGCAUGAUCCCAGCAGAUCCUCCACAAGAACAAAAAGAGGAUGGAGCAGUGCAACAGAAGACUGAAGGAGGAAGACAGAAACGCUGCAAAAAUGAGAAAAAGAAAUACAGAUUCAGCUUCAUGCCUGCCCUUGGUACAGAGGGGAUAAGAGAUGGUGAGGAGUGGCUGCAGCUGAGCAGGACACGACGAAUGCCAAAAGGCUGGGAAAGGAUGUGUGAGUUCUCUUGCACUGAGGACUAUGUACAUGCGGUCCAGAUUGGCUUACAUGAGAAUUUAAGACAAGAUGCAAAGAAGCUUAAUGGAAGGACUGGAGAAGCAACGUAAACACCGCUGGCCAUAAACUCUCACUGAAUUGCAGUGCACUUAUUAUAUCGACAUAUUGUUACUGCUCCAUUAUUUGUAUGCUUUAUAUAUGUGGAUAAAUAUUUAUGAAUAGUUCUCAUUUUCAGUUUCAUUCUAGGAACUGUUACGACUGAAUAAGCACCUCUGCGUAUGUCGUCUUCAGAAGGGCUGUCACCAGCAGACUGCAGCAGCUCUCCGGGCUGGUCCAGGAUCUCAUUGUAAUUCCCUGCUCAUAGCACUUGAAGGAUCAAUAUCAUUGUUGUUAAUGGUCAUUGCAUGCAUGAUUCAAGAUGAAAACAGCUGCCAAAUGUUGAAUCACACUCAGACAAACCAUCUCGGUGCUGUGCUGUGGCAGCACGUUCCCAGCUAAGCGUGAGUACGUGGCCCUGCCGUCCGAAUUACGGGGACACGCGCCACAGUGACGUGACAAGCUGCUUCCACAAACUGUUUUCAGAUUGCAGCUUUAUUUCUGGCUAUGGGAAACAGUACAGCCAAGGGUCAGGGGAAUAAGUAUUAUCCUUUCAUGCAACUUUGUGUUUCUUGCUUUGAAUAUCUUAGGGAUACGCAAAAACAUUCAGGUGCCCAGGAAUACCAGUGAAUAUGUCUUGGGAUUUAGGUAUGCAGCCCUGUAUUUAUACUUUGCAUAUUUUGAAAUGCAUACUGCUAUUCCACAAGCUGGCUCUUGAACAUUGUAUUGCAAUUUAAAAUAUGUGGUCUGACUUUAAUAGAUAUAAAGAGUUUGUGUAAAGAUAUAUGUAUAUUUUUUUUCUUAAAAAUACAUUUGCCUUUAUUCUAUACAGUUGACAAUCUUGGUUCACCAGAGUACCUAAAAGAAAACCAUAAUAAUCAGCUGUGUAAGAGUGAUUUUAUAGUACAAAUUGGCUUGCUGGGACUGAGGGAGUAUUUUGAUUGUUAUUUUCUCAGUGGAAUAGAUUGAUGUGACAUCUGAAAUGACAGUCAGGAAUAGAUUCUGAACUGCCACCUUCAUCUCUUAAUUAGUACAAGUAAUUCUUUUGAACAAAAUAUGGUUAUCAUCGAGUUCAUUUUGUCCCAGUGAGAUUAAAGAGUGCUUGAAUUUCACUUUUUUUUUGUCCCAGGGGUGGGAUAAUCCCUGUAAUUACAUCAUAUUUUCCACUGUUAUUCAUGCAUCAUCUCUAGUGAUACUGGGAUCUUCUGCAGAUCACUUUGAAUAUAUUAGACAAGCCUUGCCAAUACACUUCUCGUUCAGCAGCUGAAGAUUGCUCUAAUGGAAGUUGCUACUUUGAGUGAUAUAAAGUUCCCCUCAUUGCUUGUUAAGUAUAUGAAAAUGCUGUUAAAUGCUGUUUUUCAACCUCUCUAUAUUCAACAUAUCAUAAAUACUGGGAUUUCCGUGUGUAUGAAGUUGUAGCUAAUUGUUACUCCCAUUCAUGAAUUUAGUGGUGGAUGUUAGGAAGUUGCACAGCUAAAAAAAAACCACUUCACAUAGAUGUAUUCAGCUGGGCCAAAGCUGUCCUGGAGACAGGACAAUCUGGAGUUCUGCAUACCUUGGGAUAUAUCACAAAUUUAUUUCUAUUUUAUAAAAUCUGUAAGUCAGCAGUAAACACACAAUUGCAGUUGUUGGCCACUCUUCCCUUUGUCUCAGAAGCUUGUGAAACACACGAGUCCAAAGGUCUCCAGCUUCAUUUCAGCUGUGCGUUAGUGACGGUUGUUCUGUAACAUGCAGUGAUGAUUCCUGGCUUAUGAAACGUGGCUGUUUUCCUUACCUCCUCCUAAUGUCUCCAGGCACUAAUUCAUCUCAGCUCCCAGGCUUGCUGUGUGCUCUGGUGUCUUCAGCAUUCUUCUGAUGUCUUGGUGGU